rnacentral:rRNA from 1 species
UACGGAGGGGUGCAAGCGUUGCUCGGAAUUAUUGGGCGUAAAGGGUAGGUAGGUGGUCUUAUUUGUCUGGGGUGAAAUCCUUGAGCUUAACUCAAGAAGUGCCCCAGAAACGGUAAGACUAGAGUCCUGGAGAGGGUCGUGGAAUUCCCGGUGUAGCGGUGAAAUGCGUAGAGAUCGGGAGGAACACCAGAGGCGAAGGCGGCGACCUGGACAGGCACUGACACUCAACUACGAAAGCGUGGGGAGCAAACAGG